GCCAGACUCCUACGGGAGGCAGCAGUGGGGAAUCUUCCGCAAUGGGCGCAAGCCUGACGGAGCAACGCCGCGUGAAUGAAGAAGGUCUUCGGAUCGUAAAGUUCUGUUCUUAGGGAAGAAGUCUUUUCUUGUGAAUAAUGGGAGAAGGUGACGGUACCUAUGGAGAAAGCUCCGGCUAACUACGUGCCAGCAGCCGCGGUAAUACGUAGGUGGCAAGCGUUGUCCGGAUUUACUGGGUGUAAAGGGCGUGUAGCCGGGAAGGCAAGUCAGAUGUGAAAUCUGGAGGCUCAACCUCCAAAUUGCAUUUGAAACUGUUUUUCUUGAGUACUGGAGAGGCAGACGGAAUUCCUUGUGUAGCGGCGAAAUGCGUAGAUAUAAGGAGGAACACCAGUGGCGAAGGCGGUCUGCUGGACAGCAACUGACGGUGAGGCGCGAAAGCGUGGGGAGCAAACAGGAUUAGAUACCCCGGUA
rnacentral:rRNA from 1 species